UCUCUCUCCUCUCUUAUUUUUCUCUCACUCUCUCACUUCCACCAGGGGUUUUCUCUCUCUACCUCCCUCUCCCUGACGCUCCUCUCAACCCCAACUGUGCCUCCAGCACAGCCAUUGCUCCGCCUCACCAGUUUUGACAAGAGCGGGCUUGGUCUAUCGAAUUACCCUGAAACUCACAAAUCUCUUUCCCCACUACCGCCCACACUAUGCUCUGAAAUCUUCUAAAAGCAGUAGAUGGUGUCAAUCAACUGCUUGUUGUUUGUCUCUGUUGAAGUCCGACUGUUCUUGGAGUGGUUCUUGAGCACGCUACUCCGGCUAUUCCAGCCAACUAUUUCCCUAAGGAAAAUGGGGUUAAUCUCCAGAAAGAUUUUCCCAACAUGUGAGAGCAUGUGUGUUUGUUGUCCUGCUUUGAGAUCAAGCUCUCGACAACCUGUUAAGCGAUACAAAAAACUGCUUGCAGAGAUCUUUCCUAAGUCUCUUGCUAGUAUCUUUUUCUGUUGCUUAAAUGUGUUAAUUUUUUAUUAUUCCUAUGGUUUAAUUUCUGAUAGUGUAAUAUAAGCCUAUAAGGUGCUAUGUGUAUGUUGUAGUUGAGCUUACAGACAUUCAAGGUAGCUAAGCCUUGAUUAAGAUUAAAUCUAACUAGUGGUUGUCAAUGUGACUAUUAGAUUAUGUAGUACAAGUGUCGCUGUGGCUUAUGCUCUUAUUUAACAAAAGUUAGUUGUAGUGCCAUUAUAUUCUCAUGACUAGGACAAUAUGCUUCCUUCUUUGAAGCAAAGAAUAUGCAUGUCUUUUUCGCAUAUCACCCUUGGAAUGGCUUUUUUUUAAAGAAAAGCUGGCCUUGACCUUCGCUACCAUUUGUUUGUUUUGGAAUGCUAGCCCUCUGAUUGGAUCAUUGGAUCUCGGAAUAGGAUCUGAAACUGGUUAAUAUGCUUAAGAAUGAUGCUAGUCUUUGAAGCAAAUAUGUGCGUUGUCUCAUCCUUGUGUGACAUAAAUGUGUCUAUAUUUUAUCUUUCAUUAUCCUUCUUUCCACAAGUUCUUCUUUUUUUGUUUGGUCAAAGAAAGCUUGAGUCUUUAGUCCUACUCUAUCUUAGUUAUAUAGGAAAUUAAAUUGAGUUUAAGUAUUAUGAGUUUGAUACUUAGCUACUUGAAGUGUUUCUUAAUAGAUCUUUUGCCUGGAAAUUUAGCCUAUUUUACUAUUUCCACCUAUCAAUAACUAGAAAAAUGAUCAAAAUAUAUGGCAGGAUAGCCCUCCAAAUGAAAGAAAAAUUGUUAUGUUAAUAUGCUGCAAAAAACCUGGUUCGGACCCCUAAGAUUGCGAAGUAUCUUGAAGAAAGGUGCUACAAAGAACUGCGAGUUGAGCACAUCAAGUUCAUCAAUAUUGUGUGGGAAAGGUUUACAGGACUGGCAGCUGAGGUGGAAGCUGCCAAAAUUGAGAGGGACAAUUUUGAACGGAAGCAUUAGAGCGGGAACGGAUAGCCAAGCGCAGAGCUGAGAAGUAUUGAGUCGCAGCCCGAACUGCUGAGGAGAAAGUGCACAAGUUUAGGAUUGCUUUGAUUACGUCUUGGGUUAUGAUUGGGUUGUAUUUUGUUGUUCUUGCAUAAGUUCUACCAUUAAGAAGUAUUGUAGAAAUAUAUUUUUCUUUUGGAUACAUAAACUUCAACAUUUACCUUUA